rnacentral:rRNA from 1 species
GUACACACCGCCCGUCACACCAUGGGAGUCGGAAAUGCCCGAAGUCAGUGACCCAACCACAACGUGAACUUCGUUCGCGUGGAGGGAGCUGCCGAAGGUGGAGCCGGUAACUGGGGUGAAGUCGUAACAAGGUAUC